GCAUGGGACACCUGAUAUUUUGGAUUGCUUGCAGUAGGCAACUAACUCAGCAGAUAAAAUAUAGCUAUCAAAGGUUACUCGACCUUAAACAAAAAUUGUUUGAGAGUCUGAGACUAAAACCUCCAUCUUAUGCCUGAGCCUGAUCGAUAGGACCUUGGAAAUGAUCUUUAUCAGCCCAUUCUCGAUGCUAAUAGGCCUAAAGUCC
rnacentral:lncRNA from 1 species